UAAGUACUAUGAUAAUUCUUAUUUAACUUUUUUUCCUGUUCACUAAAUUAUUAAUUUGUCAUAUGGUUGAUUAAAAAUAGGUAAGGAUAUCAUAAAAAAUGUUUUAUUCGUAUGUUUUGUGGAUAUCUCUAUCUAAGAAUAUGGGUUCCUUGUUUAAUUAGUACUGUAUGACAAAAAAUAUUUAAGUAAUAUCAAAACCGGUGAAAAACCGGUUACCCGGUUUUGAGGCUGAAAACCGAAAAUU